UCUUGGUCAUUUAGAGGAAGUAAAAAGUCGUAACAAGGUUUCCGUAGGUGAACCUGCGGAAGGAUCAUUAUUGAAUAAACUUGGUUGGGUUGUUGCUGGCUCCUCGGAGCAUGUGCACGCCUAGCGCCAUUUUUACCACCUGUGCACCCUUUGUAGAUCUGGAUACCUCUCGAGGAAACUCGGUUUGAGGACUGCUGUGCGAAAGCUGGCUUUCCUUAAAUUUCCGGUCUAUGUCUUUACAUACCCCAUAAGAAUGUAACAGAAUGUUAUUAACUGGUCUUUGUGCCUUUAAUCAAAAUACAACUUUCAGCAACGGAUCUCUUGGCUCUCGCAUCGAUGAAGAACGCAGCGAAAUGCGAUAAGUAAUGUGAAUUGCAGAAUUCAGUGAAUCAUCGAAUCUUUGAACGCACCUUGCGCUCCCUGGUAUUCCGGGGAGCAUGCCUGUUUGAGUGUCAUUAAAUUCUCAACCUUUCCAGCUUUUACUAGUUUGGUCAGGCUUGGAUGUGGGGGCUGCGGGCUUCUCAGAAGUCGGCUCUCCUUAAAUGCAUUAGUGAAUCCUUUGUUUGACCAUCUCUGGUGUGAUAAUUAUCUACGCUGUUGUAAGGUCUUCAGUUAUGAGGUUCUGCUUCUAACUGUCCUCUCGAGGACAACUCUUGACAUUUUGACCUCAAAUCAGGCAAGACUACCCGCUGAACUUAAGCAUAUCAAUAAGCGGAGGAAAAGAAACUAACAAGGAUUCCCCUAGUAACUGCGAGUGAAGCGGGAAAAGCUCAAAUUUAAAAUCUGGCGGUCUUUGGCUGUCCGAAUUGUAAUCUAGAGAAGCAUUAUCCGCGCUGGACCGUGUACAAGUCUCCUGA
rnacentral:rRNA from 1 species